rnacentral:snoRNA from 1 species
AUCCUUUUGUGGUUCAGUGGUACGAUGACUGGGUUUUCCCACACCAGUGUGGGAGGUGAGCUUUCUCACACCUUGUUACCAGUGGACGUCCUGCCCAUUUGAUG